rnacentral:rRNA from 1 species
ACGAACGCUGGCGGCGUGCCUAAUACAUGCAAGUAGAACGCUGAAGAGAGGAGCUUGCUCUUCUUGGAUGAGUUGCGAACGGGUGAGUAACGCGUAGGUAACCUGCCUUGUAGCGGGGGAUAACUAUUGGAAACGAUAGCUAAUACCGCAUAACAAUGGAUGACCCAUGUCAUUUAUUUGAAAGGGGCAAAUGCUCCACUACAAGAUGGACCUGCGUUGUAUUAGCUAGUAGGUGAGGUAACGGCUCACCUAGGCGACGAUACAUAGCCGACCUGAGAGGGUGAUCGGCCACACUGGGACUGAGACACGGCCCAGACUCCUACGGGAGGCAGCAGUAGGGAAUCUUCGGCAAUGGGGGCAACCCUGACCGAGCAACGCCGCGUGAGUGAAGAAGGUUUUCGGAUCGUAAAGCUCUGUUGUAAGUCAAGAACGAGUGUGAGAGUGGAAAGUUCACACUGUGACGGUAGCUUACCAGAAAGGGACGGCUAACUACGUGCCAGCAGCCGCGGUAAUACGUAGGUCCCGAGCGUUGUCCGGAUUUAUUGGGCGUAAAGCGAGCGCAGGCGGUUUGAUAAGUCUGAAGUUAAAGGCUGUGGCUCAACCAUAGUUCGCUUUGGAAACUGUCAAACUUGAGUGCAGAAGGGGAGAGUGGAAUUCCAUGUGUAGCGGUGAAAUGCGUAGAUAUAUGGAGGAACACCGGUGGCGAAAGCGGCUCUCUGGUCUGUAACUGACGCUGAGGCUCGAAAGCGUGGGGAGCGAACAGGAUUAGAUACCCUGGUAGUCCACGCCGUAAACGAUGAGUGCUAGGUGUUGGAUCCUUUCCGGGAUUCAGUGCUGCAGCUAACGCAUUAAGCACUCCGCCUGGGGAGUACGACCGCAAGGUUGAAACUCAAAGGAAUUGACGGGGGCCCGCACAAGCGGUGGAGCAUGUGGUUUAAUUCGAAGCAACGCGAAGAACCUUACCAGGUCUUGACAUCCCGAUGCUAUUUCUAGAGAUAGAAAGUUACUUCGGUACAUCGGUGACAGGUGGUGCAUGGUUGUCGUCAGCUCGUGUCGUGAGAUGUUGGGUUAAGUCCCGCAACGAGCGCAACCCCUAUUGUUAGUUGCCAUCAUUCAGUUGGGCACUCUAGCGAGACUGCCGGUAAUAAACCGGAGGAAGGUGGGGAUGACGUCAAAUCAUCAUGCCCCUUAUGACCUGGGCUACACACGUGCUACAAUGGUUGGUACAACGAGUUGCGAGUCGGUGACGGCAAGCUAAUCUCUUAAAGCCAAUCUCAGUUCGGAUUGUAGGCUGCAACUCGCCUACAUGAAGUCGGAAUCGCUAGUAAUCGCGGAUCAGCACGCCGCGGUGAAUACGUUCCCGGGCCUUGUACACACCGCCCGUCACACCACGAGAGUUUGUAACACCCGAAGUCGGUGAGGUAACCUUUUGGAGCCAGCCGCCUAAGGUGGGAUAGAUGAUUGGGGUG